CUACGGAGGAUCCGAGCGUUAUCCGGAAUCAUUGGGUUUAAAGGGUCCGUAGGUGGACGAUUAAGUCAGAGGUGAAAUCCUGCAGCUCAACUGUAGAAUUGCCUUUGAAACUGGUCGUCUUGAAUUACUGUGAAGUGGUUAGAAUAUGUAGUGUAGCGGUGAAAUGCAUAGAUAUUACAUAGAAUACCGAUUGCGAAGGCAGAUCACUAACAGUAUAUUGACACUGAUGGACGAAAGCGUGGGGAGCGAACAGGAUUAGAUACCCUGGUAGUCCACGCCGUAAACGAUGGUCACUAGCUGUUCGGACUUCGGUCUGAGUGGCUAAGAGAAAUUGAUAAGUGACCCACCUGGGGAGUACGUUCGCAAGAAUGAA
rnacentral:rRNA from 1 species